rnacentral:rRNA from 1 species
UUUUCCGCAAUGGGCGAAAGCCUGACGGAGUGACGCCGCGUGGGGGACGAAGGCCUUCGGGUCGUAAACCCCUGUCAGAGGGAAAGAAGGGUGUCGGCGCGAUAACCGCCGGCAUCUGACGGUACCUUCAGAGGAAGCCCCGGCCAACUCUGUGCCAGCAGCCGCGGUAAGACAGAGGGGGCAAGCGUUGCUCGGAAUCACUGGGCGUAAAGGGCGCGUAGGCGGGAUGGCAAGUCAGUCGUGAAAUCUCUCGGCUCAACCGAGAAACGUCGGCUGAUACUGCCGUUCUUGAGGGAUGCAGAGGAGACUGGAAUUCCCGGUGUAGCGGUGAAAUGUGUAGAGAUCGGGAGGAACACCGGUGGCGAAGGCGGGUCUCUGGGCAUUUCCUGACGCUGAGGCGCGAAAGCGUGGGGAGCAAACGG